AGCUGUCCAGAGUUUCAGGCUUAAAGAGUGAAUAAAUAACAUUUGCAUCAUUUCUCCACAGGGAAUAGCUAUUCUCAGAUGUUGGACAAAUGGAUUCAUUCAGGCAGCAAGUUAAUCCAUCAUUUAAGGAAAAUGGCAAGUUAAGCAACGGCGAGCCUGUUCAACCCCUGGAAGGGUGACCGCUUCACGUUACACAUAUUUCAUUUUAUCCACAAGAACAUGAGGUGAUGGAAAUAAUUUGCACCUGCCCAGCAUUCCUACAGUUUGUC